rnacentral:ncRNA from 1 species
GCCUGAAGGAAGCCGGAGGCAAAAUCGUGGGUCGACGUACAGGUAUGCCCCGUACCGAAAGGUAGAGGGCAGGCAGAUUUGAGGCGGGGUACGGCAGGGACGAGUCCGCAACACAGGAUAAAGUCCUCUAUCCAUCAGUUAGCCAAACCACGUAUAUCUGACGAUCGUGCGAUGAAAGUAG